UGCCACUUUGUCAUAUGAUUUAUUCACUUCAUUCUCGUAGUAUUCAGACAUCAUGAACAGAAUAUAUUAUUCAACAAAUACCAACAAUUACUCCUUGAAUAAUUUAGUUGAUGAUGGUUUAUUCUUGUGUUAAGGUCAGCUCCAUGUGAGGGGACUAAUGCUGGUGCACAGCCUUUUUUCUUCUGGACCUUUAUGACAAGCUGAUGUAAACCAAACCCUUUUGUAGCUCAGAGGGAGCUAAAAUGCAUCAUGAUGCAUUCUGAAUCUUGUAGAAGAAAAAAUUAUUUGGUAUCUAUGAACUAUUUAAUUACCACCUGGAUUUGAUUGUAGUAAGUAAUGUACAAACACAAAGUACAGAAUGACUAACUUCAAAUGGGUGAGUGCUAAAUACAGCAGGUAAUUGAAGUAGAAACAUGAAUAAUAAGACAGCCCAUCUGAAAAAAAAAAAAAAAGAUGAACUGAGAGAAAAAAUAGAAA